GACGAACGCUGGCGGCGUGCUUAACACAUGCAAGUCGAACGGAAAGGCCCUGCUUUUGUGGGGUGCUCGAGUGGCGAACGGGUGAGUAACACGUGAGUAACCUGCCCUUGACUUUGGGAUAACUUCAGGAAACUGGGGCUAAUACCGGAUAGGAGCUCCUGCUGCAUGGUGGGGGUUGGAAAGUUUCGGCGGUUGGGGAUGGACUGGCGGCUUAUCAGCUUGUUGGUGGGGUAGUGGCUUACCAAGGCUUUGACGGGUAGCCGGCCUGAGAGGGUGACCGGCCACAUUGGGACUGAGAUACGGCCCAGACUCCUACGGGAGGCAGCAGUGGGGAAUAUUGCACAAUGGGCGGAAGCCUGAUGCAGCAACGCCGCGUGCGGGAUGACGGCCUUCGGGCUGUAAACCGCUUUCGCCUGUGACGAAGCGUGAGUGACGGUAAUGGGUAAAGAAGCACCGGCUAACUACGUG
rnacentral:rRNA from 1 species